ACGGACUCAUCAUUCCAGCCAAUCAGCAGCAGACCCUCCCUCCCAGACAGCAUCCAUUUUGAAGCUGCAUUCUUAGUGAGCUGUCCAGGAGUUGGGAGGGUCUGGGAGGGAGGGUCUGCUGCUGAUUGGCUGGAAUGAUGAGUCCG